GCUGUUGAUUGUCUAAGAGGGCUAAACAGUUCCUUGGCCCUUGCGCUGGUGCAUCAGCACACCCUUCACUAUCAAAAAACAUCGACCCAGGACCCAGAUUGUCAAUCAAAACCUAGAAGAAAAUCAGCUGCACCAAAACCUCUUCCUCUGUAUCAGAUGGGUGGAAGGCAUCCCGACCUCCAGGCCACUCCUCCAGACCCUCGCAGAUGUCUACCGAGUGAUGAGCUCCGGGCCAACCUGGGACACACACAUUGCUUAGGCUAGGGGAGUGUGGCUGGGGGUCUGGACUGCUUCUCCCUGACUCAGUGUCCUCUGAGCUCACCGAUGCCCUCUGCUGCUUGCUGGGGGAACAACACAAAAAAACACAUCACCAAACAGCAGUGUCAGCAGACACACUCAGGAUA